rnacentral:lncRNA from 1 species
UAGAAGUGAGGAGCUACACCUCUGGAGAUUUAGAAAUGGAAGCGUGGUUUCCAUCAGGGAACGUGCAGCCAGAACCAGCUUAUCUGCAAGAGACAGAGACCCCAGAAUCCACCAUAAAGGUCAUCUCUUGGGACUAGAUGGGACAGCAGCAGCCCAGCCAGCAUACGGGCUAGCAGCUGUGGAACCUGUGUCUCACCGUGUCAGCCGACACAAUGUCCUUCUUGCAUCUUCUCCCCUUCUCGACCUUGUCCUAUCUCCUUAGAGAAUGACCCUGUCAUUAUCACCUGAGGGGUCUCUUAUAUCUGCUCUGCAGACAGCACCUGUCUGACGUACUGGCAGAACCAUUCCCUGAUUUCAAUAUAGCAACUUCCCUUGCCCCACAGCCAGCCCUCACCUCCCCCUGAGAAAUGGCCUUUUUACUUCUGUGGUUCUUUUUAUGUUGCUUUUCUUUUAAGUAUUUGUUUUAAUAAAUUGUUAGUACUCCUUUU